GGAAGGGUGGCUCAGUGGUAGAGCGCUGUCAGCCGCACAGGGCUUCGCGUGGUUCGAAUCCCGCCCCUUCCA
rnacentral:tRNA from 1 species